GCGGGCGUAGCUCAAGUGGUAGAGCAACCGACAAUACAAAGUGUGUCAUGGUAUGACACCAACAGCAAUUUCUUUGGAAAAAUCAGUUUGUUGGAGGUUCGAGUCCUCCCGCCCGCA
rnacentral:tRNA from 1 species